rnacentral:tRNA from 1 species
UUCUGCUUAAUGUCAAUUUCAUUAACAUUGUAAACCACCUUCCACUGUCUAUUCCUUUUGAUGACUAAGUGUGUGAUAUUUUUCUUAUUGUGAUAAAUACUAUGAAUACAGCAAAAUUCAUCAAUGUAUUUACUUUCUGCUUAAACUCAAUUUGAUUAAUAUUGUAAAUAAUCUUCCGCAUUCAAUUUCUUUUGAUGACAAAAAGUCUGAUAUUUCUCUUUGUGUGAUAAAUAUCAAGAAUCAAGCAAAAUUCGUCGAAUUACUUCAAAAUCUUUCCGAACGUUCUCUCUCUGUGUGUGUCACCUAUUUCCUCAAUUCUAGUUUCUCAGCAAAAAUUUUAACUGUCCCAUUUACAGUAUGAUCUUGUGUGAGACUUAA